rnacentral:rRNA from 1 species
UAGGGAAUCUUCGGCAAUGGGGGCAACCCUGACCGAGCAACGCCGCGUGAGUGAAGAAGGUUUUCGGAUCUUAAAGCUCUGUUGUAAGAGAAGAACGUGUGUGAGAGUGGAAAGUUCACACAGUGACGGUAACUUACCAGAAAGGGACGGCUAACUACGUGCCAGCAGCCGCGGUAAUACGUAGGUCCCGAGCGUUGUCCGGAUUUAUUGGGCGUAAAGCGAGCGCAGGCGGUUUAAUAAGUCUGAAGUUAAAGGCAGUGGCUUAACCAUUGUUCGCUUUGGAAACUGUUAAACUUGAGUGCAGAAGGGGAGAGUGGAAUUCCAUGUGUAGCGGUGAAAUGCGUAGAUAUAUGGAGGAACACCGGUGGCGAAAGCGGCUCUCUGGUCUGUAACUGACGCUGAGGCUCGAAAGCGUGGGGAGCAAACAGG